GCAGUGGUGGUUCUGUGGUAGAAUUCUCCCUUUCCAUGUGAGAGAUCCAGGUUUGAUUCCUGGCCAGUUCA
rnacentral:tRNA from 1 species